GAUUGCUAAUCAGUGCUUUCAGCUCAUCGCUGCACUUGCAGCUUCACAGGGCAAAGAUGUGUUUGCUGUCAACAGUUAUGUGGUGGUCACGUGGUUGCCUCCAUAUAACAAUGAUCCUCGGCCAGCUUUACCUGAUGAUGCUGCAACCAAGGACUUCAUGUUACUUCCCUCAUUGGAGUCAGGGCACUGGAUUAUAUGUGUAAAUUACAUUU